CCUACGGGUGGCAGCAGUGGGGAAUAUUGGACAAUGGGGGCAACCCUGAUCCAGCCAUGCCGCGUGUGUGAAGAAGGCCCUCGGGUUGUAAAGCACUUUCAGUGAGGAAGAACGCCUGGUGGUUAAUACCCAUCAGGAAAGACAUCACUCACAGAAGAAGCACCGGCUAACUCCGUGCCAGCAGCCGCGGUAAUACGGAGGGUGCGAGCGUUAAUCGGAAUUACUGGGCGUAAAGCGCGCGUAGGUGGCUUGAUAAGCCAGUUGUGAAAGCCCCGGGCUCAACCUGGGAACGGCAUCCGGAACUGUCAAGCUAGAGUGCAGGAGAGGAAGGUAGAAUUCCCGGUGUAGCGGUGAAAUGCGUAGAGAUCGGGAGGAAUACCAGUGGCGAAGGCGGCCUUCUGGACUGACACUGACACUGAGGUGCGAAAGCGUGGGUAGCAAACAGGAUUAGAUACCCCGGUAGUC
rnacentral:rRNA from 1 species